GGGGAUGGGAUCAGCUUGUGACUGCCUGCCUUACCUGUCUGGUGUGAUACCCUCUCCUCUUUCCCACAGGAUCCAGCAUGGCCCAGAAGGUCACCCAGACUCAACCAGAAAUGUCUGUGCAUGAGGCAGAGACCGUGACCCUGGACUGCACGUUUCACACUCGUGUCAGUAAUUAUUAUUUGUUCUGGUACAAACAGCCUCCCAGUGGGGAGAUGGUUCUCAUUAUUCGCCAAGAAGCUAAUAAGCAAGAGAAUGCAACAAAUAAUCGCUUCUCUGUGAACUUCCAGAAAGCAGACAAAUCCUUCAGUCUCAGGAUCUCAGCCGCCCAGCUGGGGGAUGCUGCGAUGUAUUUGUGUGCUCUCAUGGAGGGCAUAGUGACAGGAGCAACAGAGGGAGGUUUACAGAAACCUCAGACCUCAGCAUCUGUGCAGAGGUCGGGGUGGGAGGAGUGACUAGGGCACCAGGAACAUAGAAAAUCAUUG